rnacentral:misc_RNA from 1 species
GAUGAAGAACGCAGCGAAAUGCGAUACUUGGUGUGAAUUGCAGAAUCCCGUGAACCAUCGAGUCUUUGAACGCAAGUUGCGCCCGAAGCCAUUAGGCCGAGGGCACGCCUGCCUGGGCGUCACACGUCGUUGCCCCCCCAUCUACUCCUUCGGGAUUGCGGGGGGCGGAUGAUGGCCUCCCGUGCGCCUCGUCGCGCGGUUGGCCUAAAUGCCAAGUCCUCGGCGACGCACGCCACGACAAUCGGUGGUUGCGAAACCUCGGUUGCCUGUCGUGUGCGGUCGUCGCGCAUCGAGGGCUCGAAAAAAUUGCCGGGCUUCGGCUCGACUUUCAACGCGACCCCAGGUCAGGCGGGGUUACCCGCUGAAUUUAAGCAUAUCAGUAAGCGGAA